ACUCGAUGGACGUGAGUUUGAGUGAACUCUGGGAGUUGGUGAUGGACAGGGAGGCCUGGCGUGCUGCGAUUCAUGGUGUCGCAAAGAGUCAGACAUGACUGAGCGACUGAACUGAACUGAUCUCAUAUUUUAUUGGUAAUUCUGGUGAGAAGAGGCUAGGAAGCACAUAAGAAGGGGGAUUGAAGUGAUCAGUGCUCUUCGUUUAAUGGUAUGAAAACCCUAGUCACGUGCUCUCAGGAUAUUUCUUGGUUAUUUUAAUGUUUAACGAUAAAAUAUGUGGCAUAGAAAGAGUAAGAAACAAAACUUUGCUGUGACACUGGGGGCUUCUGCCUUGUGGUAAUAGUUAGGAAGAUGGCCUUACCUUGAGAGCAGUUAUCUUGCAGAUAAAUAGCUGAAACUUCUUUCAGAAAUGUCUAACUUUUGUUCUUGGGUUCAUGGGAAUUUGAGAGAUACAGGCUUUUAAUUGUUCACAGCUGGUGCAUGAAUAUAGUGGUAAUAAUAAUUAGGAACAAUACGGUUCACCUCUCAAGUUGUUAGUUUUAAUCCACUAAAGUUUUUUGAUCUGAAGUCUGGCAGCGUUUUCCAGUGGGAACGUUUGGAGGGGUUCCAUCCUAGUUUUCAGUCAGGAAGUAUGCGUGUCUGCCUUGUCUCGCUAAUUUGUUACAAUGAUUUCCAUGGUUUGAUUUUCAUGUCUUCCACCUAAAAGCACACACGCAAAACCAGCCUGCACUCCAGACAUCCUUACUACUUGAGCAGGUGCAGCAGGCACCAUGAGCCUGGAUCAAGCAUAUCUGGGGAGUUUCGGCCUCGGGUGUGGCCCCCCAUGGCCACUUGAUGGAGAUGGGAGCCUUGUUAGGAGAGGAAAAAGUGAGUUUGAAUUACAUGCUUGUGAAUGGAGGCCAAACGUCAGUGUGGUUGACACUUAUUACUUCCUUGGGAUGAAAAGAAUGCUUCCAAUUCCCUAGAUAGUAGAAGUAAUCAUAAAGCUGAUUUUAUAAGUUAUUUAUUCCUCCCACCUUGCUUUUUGUCAAGUUUUCAAAUUCCAGAGUAUUAAGACAAGUUUCUGGAGGCAUUCACUCUCCAUGACUCCAUCUUAGGGAAAUUUUUCUAAGUGAUAAAUAUUUAUAAGCGAGUAAGUAUGGAUUUCCCUGGCUGUCCAGUGGUCAAGUCUGCAUUUCCACUACAGAGAAUGUGGGUUCAAUCCCUGGUCAGGGAACUAAGAUCCCACAUGCUGCAUGGCACAGCUAAAAAAAGAGGGGGGUAAGAGAAAGAGAAUAAGUAUUAAAAACACAUGUAUUCUUGAACAGUGAUUUCAAUGAAAGCAGUAUUCUGAGAAAUUUUAAAGCAACAACAAAAGAGUUUUCGUAUGAGAAUGUGUAAUUAUAUCAGAUUGUUAAAAGAUACCUCUUUCACCUUGGAUACCUUGGGGUGAAGAAAAUCUUAAAUUGACAUUGCAUAUGUGAAAGAAAUGUAAAUCCUAAUUUUGGUUAUUUUUAGAAGUUAGUAGUAGAACAUUAAUUACAUGAACAAAUUUAUAGCUUCUCAUAAUUCACGCUGACCCCUGGUUUGGCUGAGGCAGCCCACUCUUGUGUUCUGGAACUAAGUGAUUUCUCCUAGCACAUCCUCUUUGCUUUUCCCACAAGACUUCCUGGAAUAAGACGGCGUUUGCCAGGUAGAGUUGAUACAAGAAUCCUGCCAAGAUAACUUUGUGAUGACAACCUUUUUUGCUUUUAAAAGUACACAUUGUAAGAAAGCUCCCUUGAAUCUACAAAUAAAACCCAUUUUAUGAAGCUAGGUUGUUAUUCACAUUGUACUUCCAGGAAGGCAAAUUGGAAUUAGUUUUCAUUUCAGAGGGCCGUGAAAGUGAAGUGGAACAAGUCAGAGAGCCGUGGGAGAGGUUGUGACCUUGUGGAAAUACCAGGUCAGUAUUGGGAAUUAGUGUGAGAUCCCCAAAUGCAGCAAUUUCUAAGUGGGUGAUUUUUGUCAUUUUAUUCACUUUUGCUAGCUCAUGAAAAAUUGUCAGAGUGAACAGAGGGACAGCAUUAAUCUCCUGAAUAAGGAGCCUUUACAUCCCUACCCCUCGAAGACUCUUUUUUUUCAUCACAACCUAUUUGUAGGUGAUCAGCGUGCGGACACUGCAUGUGCUUAUGUCUUCUAAGUAUUUGCUUCUGGAGAGCCAGCUUGAAAAAGCAAAACAGAAAAAUCCAUUGGCAUUUUGAGAGUUGAAUCCACAGAAGAUGUUGUUUGCAAUGUGCUAAAAACAUAAGGUUCAAACAGCCGGAACAGGCCUGGUGCCAGGCAGUUUUACUGGGAGAGAAAGAGGAGGUCUGAAGCAGUCCUUUUAGGAUUAUCUCCAACUCAGCAGCUGCUGUCUGAGUUUGAUUAUGCACAUCCUGCUCUGGGAGACCUGCCUUAACCCUCCGGCCCCUGGGGAAUCUCAGGCCUCUCUUUAAACAAAAGGCUCUUCCCCUGGACACCCAAGGGCAAAAGCCAAAACAAUAUGGAGGUUAAAAGAACGUGGAGCUUUUGAAGACUGGAUUUGAGAGAACAGUCUAGGAAGGAAACUUGAGUGCAGAAGUUUGGAGCUUGUAAGUGCCUUUUAAGACCCUCUCAUUUUACAGAUGAAGGAGCAGAGGCUUGGGGAAGUUAAGUGACUUAACCAGAAAGAACUAGUCAGAACUGAAAUCCAGGUCUCCUCGCCGCCCUCCUACCCCCCAACCCUCACCACCGCACCCCCCAGCCCCGCUUUGUAUAGGAUCACAUGCUUUAAAGAUGGGGUUCUCACUCCCAUAUAAAUAACGCAUUGUAUAUUUUUGAAAAUUGAGCCGAAAGAGAAGAAACAUUGAAAGAGCAUUUGGAGUUAGGAGCUGACCAGGCAUAUUCAGAUUUUUUUUUCAAGCAGUGGAGUUUCCUCAGUGUGUAAAUAAGUGGACCAGUAAAUAGAUUAUUCCAGUAAAUUCUGCGUAAGAUUUUUAAAGGUCAGUUCAGUUCAGUUCAGUUGCUCAGUUGUGUCCAACUCCUUGCAACCCCGUGAACUGCAGCAUGCCAGGCCUCCCUGUCCAUCACUAGCUCCCGGAGUUUACUCAAACUCAUGUCCACUGAGUCGGUGAUGCCAUCCAACCAUCUCAUCCUCUGUCAUCCCCUUCUCCUCCUGCCUUCAAUCUUUCCCAUCAUCAAGGUCUUUUCAAAUGAAUCGGUUUUUAAAGGUAGAACCAGGCAUAUUGGAGAGGUGUUGGGAGGGAAAAAUUGAAUCUAGAAAGAUGGUUCUGAAAACUAGGAAGGAUGUUUGUGUAAGGAACUCUUUUAUUCAAUGAUUGUGGUAUCUGGAGCCGGGCUACAGCCUCUGAGGAUUUAUGACCUCCAGUCUGGAGAAGGUAGGUGGGCUUCCACUAUCUGAGUUGAGGAAUGCAUGUGGGAUCCUUGAGCCUAAGGCUGACCAGGUAACAAAAGACUUUGUCAGAGAAGAUAGCUGCCUAGAGUUCUUGGAGAGGAACGAGUGGUUGGUUGUUUUACAUUUGUGUUGGGAAGUGAGAAUUUUCCCUGCUCUGUGGUUGAAAUAAGAUGAAGUUUUCUUCCUUUUGAAGUUUGGGAAGAUAAUUUCUUACAGAAAAUAAUACUGAAAUCCAGGGAUAUUACUAAAAUGUGGAUCCUUUCUCUUCUUGCCCGGUUAAAGGACUGAGCUGGUAGAGUUUUGUUUGGUAUAACGGCACCGGGUAGCAUUGUUGACCUAAAAGGGUUUUGAUUAAACGAGAGAGAAAAAUCAGAACGAUCUUAUUCACUAACAUGCCAAGCGGAUUUGCAGCCUAUUUUUAUACUUUUUAAUAGUGGAAUUUUUAUUCUCCUUUUAAGGUUAUAUUGAAUCUGAGCUGAGUAUCCUUUUCUACACCCCACCAUCCUUUCUGUGAAACCUAAGAGAAAAAGACUUAUAUUUAGGAUACCCUGAGAUACCCUGGGAUGUGUUUCUUUGCACUUAAUUAUCUUUCUAGGAUUUUGGUGACAUCUGUAGCUGAAAAGAAAAGGAGCGAUGGGUGAUCUGGAGCAUAUCUCAAAUGGGCGAAUGUGAGAGUCUUCUUUUAGAGCUAUGCCUUAGGAAUGCCUUUUAUUUAGUGGCCUAAUUAGGACAGGCCUGUGUCGGUUUAUUGAUUGACAAGCUUUUGAAGUACCUGUUGCCUGCAAGUGUGAAUUUUUAAAGCAGUUACCUGAUUUUUUUUCUCCCCCUCUGACUUGGAGAAAAGUUAGGGCACAAGAAGACGCUAUAUAUUAUUUUCCUUGUUCUUCACCAAAGACAGAGUUUUGGGUUCUUUGGAAAAAGAAGUUUAUCCGAAGGUCAGGAGCCCUUUCCUCCUUUGUUUCCCUUAAUUGAUAGCAGAGGCUCUUUGUCCCAUUGGGAUACAUUGUCUUAAUGCUAGUCUUACGCUGUAAUGAUAUCAAAGGAGGCAACUCAAGUGAUUUUCUCUGUAGGCAAUUAUUCAGUUUAUGAUAUAUUAUAAAACUUUUUGAAGAGCUAUUUAUACUCAUAAGAGAGGGGAAGUAGCUUAAGGAUCUAUGAUCUUUAUUUGAGAUAGUUACUAAUCUAUCUAAUUGGAUCUUUAGAGCAAAAUGGGCAGUUUGUGGAUGUGUAGUGUAAGAUGAUGGCAGCCCGCGCCAGUGUUCUUGCCUGGAGAAUCCCAGGGACGGGGGAGCCUGGUGGGCUGCCGUCUAUGGGGUCGCACAGAGUCGAACACGACUGACGUGACUCAGCAGCGGUGUAAGAUGAAUUCUGUGGAAGUACCACCUCGGAACUGUCAGCUUGCCCAGAAGUGACAUUCCUCAGCUGGGAACUUUCUCUGGGUUGUUGUUAUUCAGUCGCUAAGUCGUGUCCUAUGAUUUGUGACCCCACGCCAGCCUUCCUUGACCUUUACUAUCCCCCAGAGUUUGCUCAAACCCGAGUCCAUUGAGUUUGUGAUGCCAUCCAACCAUCUCAUCCUCUGUCACCCUCUUCGCCUCCUUUCUCUGGGAAGGGUGUAUUUAUAUAUAUAUAUAUGUCUAUUUCUGGAUUAGUUUCACACAAGUGAAGUGUCUUUCCCACCUGCUGCUCUUUGCCUGGGGUUGGAAUUUUUCCCUUUUAGUGCUUGUCACUUGGCCUUUGAAUGGAAAUGUGUCCUUCCUUUCAGAAUCAGAAGAUUGUGUAAUUCAUCAGGAGAAAUUUCUCCGAAGACUUAUUAAUUCAGUUCCUCCAUGGCAAACUCCCCACACUACAAUGAUAAACCUCUGAAUUUGAAAUCCCUUAAAAUUUUUUUUCUUCCCAAAAUGUGUACAAUGAAUUUCUGAGCUGCUAAAAAUCCCACAUUGUAUCUCACUGUCAUUCUCUGUAAUCUCUUUUUAGAGGAUUUGGUGUUGUUUGGCUGCUCCAGCUAAACCAAAUUAACACGAAAUUCAGGCUUUUGAAGUGUAGAAGCAGUGUGGGAAGAAUAACGGGAGAUCCUAGGUUUCCUUGAAGAAGAAAGAGGGAUGUAUGGUGAAUACACAUGAAUGUCCCUUCCCUGGGGCCUCUGAUGGUAAAGAAUCCGCCAUCAAUGUGGGAGACCUGGGUUUGAUCCCUGGGUUGGGAAGAUCCUCUGAGGAAGGAACUGGCUACCCAUUCCAGUAUUCUUGCCUGGGAAAUCCCAUGGACAGAGGAGCCUGGUGGGCUAGAGUCCAUGGGGUCACAAAGAGUCGGACACGACCAAGUGACUAACACACACACACACUCAAUCAUGUUUGAAAAUGUGACUUAGUAAUUUUGGUUGGGAGUUAAGCUUGUUCCCGGUGCCUUGGGCCUCUUCCAGGAGUGGUGCUCAGAGUCCUAGGUACUGUUGGAGAGGGGCCUUUCAUUCUUGGCGUUCUGGGGGAGAUUUACGUCUGUAAGCCGGAUAAAAAUACGUGGCAAGGUGAUUAGUUUAAUUGGCCCACUAGUAUAAUUAUUCAGUAGGAGGUGACUGUGGGAUGGCUAUUGUAGCCCAAAAUGCCUGGUAGGAAGGGGGAGGAGACUCACUGAAAACAGCAGCAACGUUAUAAAACGUUGGUUUAAAUGUGCAUUUAAUAGCAAAUUAUCCUGUCACUUUAAGAAGGAUGGAGGGAUUCUUAACCAAGUGGGAUUAGAAUCCAACCCCCCACCCCACCCCGCCAAAAAAAAAAAGAGGUGGGCUUUUUUUGGCAAGGAUAAUUGUGGGGAAUUCUGUGAACGAUCUCUCUCCCCUUAAGUAGUACCAGGGGUAACAGGAUUUAGUGAAUGUAAACUCGCCCCAACCCUCAGCUAGUCAUCCUUCCCCCAGGUGUUGCGACAGGCAGGGUGGCUGCAAGCUGGUGUGGCCCCAAGAGUGGGGGUGUCCUGGCUUCUUUCAGAAAAAGCCCAGUGGAAGGGAAUGUGGUAAAGCAGCGGAUUUUUCUUUCACAUCAAAGGGCAGGGAAUGUUGUGCAGACAGUGAGCUAAGGAGGAGGGAGCAGCCCUUUCGGUGCGCUUUGGGAAAGUAUGUGUGGAACGCGGUGGUUCGGGGACCAGGCCCCCCCCCCCCGCCCCCCCGCAACCCCCAAGAGGGUCCAGGUGCCUGCCUGGUUGCUGUGUUCCUGGAGCCCAGUGACCGGAGGCUGAAAUUGCAGCCAGAUGAACCGAAAAUAAAAUUGAUGGCUUUAUUGGACAUUCUUUUCGUGAAAUUUAACUUUCUAAUGUGCACAUUUAUCACUCUGGGGAUGGCAUUAUCCGUGGCUGACCUUUCGUUUGGGGGAGCUGCCACUUGCUGACUGCUGCUCCCUUCAGCUCUGCUUUGAUUCCUCUCCACAUCUGCUGAACAUGUGAGAUAAAUAAAUAUAUAUAUAUAUACACACACACACGUAUAUAUGUGUAUGCAUGUAUAUACUUUUUCCUCUGAUGCACAUUGACAUCUGGCUAGAAAGAUGUAAUGAAAAUCAGUCAGAACUAAUUUUAGCUAGCUAUUCCAGUUUAGGGUCCCAGUUCUCCUGGUUUCUUUUCAGAUGUAGACAUUAUGGCUUCCUACAAGUUGCUGGGGGAAGCAUGGGGCAGCAUUGGCAAGGCUCUUUGGGCAGGAGGCUGGGGGUCUUUGGCUUAUUUCCACCCCUCUCCACACUGCCCCCCCCCCCCGUUAAUGAUUUGGGGGUGGCUGGGAAUCAUAAGCCUGCAAGGCUUGUUAUCAACGUGCUCAGUAAUAUUUAAAAAUCUUCCUUCCCUUCCUCCUUUCCAGUAGGCAUUAGAGCACGGCUGUGGUUACACCUAAUAUACCUCAAAGACUUCCCUGGACUGUUUAAUGGGACCUCAUGGAAAGACAGCUCACUCCAGUGUUCUUUCCUGGAGAAUCCCCAUGGACAGGGGAGCCUGGUGGGCUGCACUCCAUGGGGUCACAGAGAGUGGGACACGACUGAGCGACUGAGCAUGCACGCAGUGGAGUGUCAUGCGCCCUUCCGUGGGUGGUGGGUGGUUCUUAUUUUGAAAAGAUGUGACAACUGAGGACUUUCCAAUUAUUACAGUCUUUCAUGGGAUCAGAAUUUGAGGGAGACAAGACUUAGGCCGUAAUUUAACAGGUCAUUGGAGCUUCCACACGAGCGUUGGGGGUGCUGGAGGCGUUGGGUCACAAACAUAAAAUUGCACUCUGUGUUUCUGCUUGCUCCAGAGAAGUGGCUGGAACACCUGCUCUCGCUUCUUCAGGAGAAUCCCAGUCAGGAUGUCACUGUCUCCCCAAGUGCUCCCAAAUGUUUGUGGCUGCCCAUUCCUUCUCCCUAUGACAGCCUCUGUCUCAUCUUUGGCCAAUCUGGAGGCAGGAAGUAGUGGGACUUCCGGUUUGGGUGUGAGGUCACUAGGGCAGGAGGUGGCUUUGUCUUGGACGUGGUCAUCCUCUCACCUUGGGGUUGAUGCAGCCUCCCCAUGCUCAGCCUCCCACCUGUGCUUGGUGAAUACUGCUCGGCCUUGUUGCUGCAGCACUGGAUGGUUGACUUAGGUCCCUGGACAGAUUCCUUGUCAGAACCCCCUUCCCAGUAGAGGGAGGCUGCACCCUCCUGCCCCUGUGUCCUGGUGGGACUACAUUACCCCUGAGCCGCUUAGGAGGUAGGGACAAGGUUCUUGCCCUAGGAGCUAAAAGUCAGGCCCUGUUGCUCUAGUCUUUUCCUCCUCCUUAAAGCUUCCUUAUGAUAAAAUCUUCCUCUGCUGGUCAACCCUCCAGGCAGGUUUGCUGAACUCAAACAGAAGGUAGUGCUUAGAAGCGUUGAAACUCUCCUCCUCUAAGAUCAUGCCUUACGACAAACUGGAUUCCCAGGUCUCUAUUGAUUUCUGGGGGUUUCCCUUGAUAGUUGCAUUCCCCCCGUCUCCUCUGGAAAAAAGCAUUAUUUGGCCUUACUUUGGCCAUAAAUAGAAUCAGAAUGAGACAAGGAACUCAUGUAACUGAAAGGGUGGUCAUCACAGUGCUUCCAGAGGGGAGGACUCAGGAUGUUUGCAUAUCUCUUAUCAAUGUACAGAGCUUUUUUAAGUUUUACAAACUUAUCAAGAUCACUCAUCACAGUAACUCUGUGGGGUGGGUGUCAUUGACCUUGUUUCACAGGGGAGGAAAGUAGUCACCCCUUGAGGUUGGAGGAGAGGCUGAGAAAAACUAAGCAUUUGAUCCAAAGUAAAGCAUCCAGUGGUAAAGAUGGUCUUGGCUCUUCGACUUGACUGGUAGUGGUUUGCCUUGGAGUUUUUCUCUGUGAUUUGGGCCUGGCCAAAGUGGCUUUGUACCGAUUUCUGUAAUAGGUCUAAAUCGAUUAGAUUUCAGUAAAUAUGUACUGAUCAUCUGUGAUUUAAGAUUUAAACAUAGGAAUCUUUAAAGGGAUGGCAGACUUGAAGUUUUGUAGAGAAUGAAGCAUCAAAAAUCAUUUUACAGAGACAAAAGAAAAAAGUUACAAGUUUACAUGCCUGAUGUACAGACUGAAACCACCCUGUUAUUACAUAACAAUAUGUGUUUCUCGUUUUGCCUCGUGUGGCCAAUAAAUGCAGAAAUUUCUUCACUCCCUUCUUUGCAUUAAAAAGGUGGAGCAAAUGUCUCUAGCCUGUUUUCAAUGCUAUGAGAGAGAGGAACUUCUUUCUAGAUUAUAGGAGUGCCAAGGGAAUGGUCUCCUAUUAACAGUGGAUAGAUUCUACCUGGAGACUGGUGGAAAUGCCAUCCCCAUUGAGAGGAGGAGAGCAAACAGUUGAGCAAAAAGUGAGGAAAGGUCUUUCCCAUUUCUUUUUGAGUACGAAGGGCCUUUUAAGAACUUGGGGUACAUCACAAAGACAAAAUGGUCAAGCCAGGGAAUCCGGAAUUGGAUUCUAUAUUGAUUCCCCUGCAUGUCACUGUGGGUUUCACUUGGCUCUGUUGACCCACCUGUAAAACCGGGAUGGUGAUACAGCUGUGAGGAAGGCUUGAAAGGUACUCACAAGGUCCAGGAUCUGCAGGGGGUGGAGGUUGGGAGCUGGCCACCAGCCUGGAGGAGAAAGGCAGGUGUCCUCUGGAAGGUGAUGGCUCCAUGCAACUGUCUUUCUGAUGUCUGCGUGGCUCCAGUUCCUAAUACUUGGCUCUGUGUUCGCGUGUCAGAGUCACACUCUUCGUUUUCCAUGACUCCUGUUGAUUUUUGGCAUGGACGCACCCAGGAUUUAUUUCUACAGCUAGCACUGUGAUUGACCCAUAAUGGGUGCUCAGUAAGUACUGGUUGAGCGAAUGUACCCCAAGGGGAAGAGGGACAAUGUGCCUAUUCAUAGGUGGGGAGAGACCGUGCCUGGGGACAAGUUUCGAGCUUCUUUAUUUCUGCCUCUGGAGUGUUUGAAUGCAAGCUUCCUAGCAAUGGAGGCAGUGCUGCCAUGCCAUAAAUAACACCAGGAUUGGUCUUUGUUUCCCACUGCGUUGCCCAGGUCACUGCUUAUCAGGAACAGUGCGCAGGGAGGUACCGCCCUCCCUCCUCCCGCCUCUGCUGGGUGCUUUCUGCCUAAGCUAGCCACCAAAUUCUCAGGGCUAUGUUUGUCCUUCUCACAGAGAAAUCUGAUCAUGGCACUCUCCUUCCUAGUAAGUGCCCUCAGUGGUUCCCUGUCGCCCCCAGUGAAGUCCAUACUCCUUGCUCCCAGGGCGCAGGGCCCUCUGACCUGGUCCUUCUACUGUGUUGGAUAUGAGGACCCCCUUGGGCAGUCCUGCAGGCUGUUUGGGGGUGAAAGGCAGUGGUGGUGGGCGGGGGGCGGCAUUGAUCUACCAGAUGGAGUUAGAUCUGCUGGGUUUAACCGGGGAAUUUUAAAACCUGCUCUGAGUUGGUCUCCAAAUGAGCCGAAAAUCAGCAUAUUUGGGACACAUCAGUACAGUACACUAAGAAAAAGGCAUUGGAUGUUUGGAAUAGGAGUGCAAUAGUUCAUGUUAAGGGACGGAGAAAAUCGUGAUGCUAAAGUAUCUUUGCAUAUAGUCUUCAAAGACCUACUCGAUAAAAAGUGUUUUCAACUGACCCUGUAGUUUAUUUGGAAGAAUAUAUAUGUUUGUGUAGGUGCACAUGUAUCUACACUUGCAUAUAUCUUUUUAAUUUGGAAAAUAAAUGAGAGAGACUCGUAUUACUGGAGAUUGAAAAUUACUGUAAAGCUAUAAUAAUAAAAGUGGAUGACGUGAGUGUAAAAAUGUACAAACAACCAAACAAAAUAGCACUUCUCAGAAAUUUUAAGUGUGUGGAAUAACAAUUAUAUGGUAAGUCCUUGGGAGAAGGUACUGGUUAUCUGGUGAAGGAGGUUGUGAAAUUGGAUACUUAAAAAAAAAAAACCCACACAACCUAUUUAGAU